UGGGAGGGCAGAGGGGCAGCA
rnacentral:miRNA from 1 species